rnacentral:rRNA from 1 species
GGAGAACUGAGGGGGGCUGCUCCUAGUACGAGAGGACCGGAGUGGACGCAUCACUGGUGUUCGGGUUGUCAUGCCAAUGGCACUGCCCGGUAGCUAAAUGCGGAAGAGAUAAGUGCUGAAAGCAUCUAAGCACGAAACUUGCCCCGAGAUGAGUUCUCCCUGACUCCUUGAGAGUCCUGAAGGAACGUUGAAGACGACGACGUUGAUAGGCCGGGUGUGUAAGCGCAGCGAUGCGUUGAGCUAACCGGUACUAAUGAACCGUGAGGCUUAACCUU